UGGCCAGCACCCGUCUGUCAUGUCCUCCCUGGGGCUGCGUGAUGGGCUGAGUAGGAGUAGCGUACCGUUUGUCCACCUGCCCCACCGUCACACCCCUACUCAGAGGCCCUGCGCCCCUCACGUCUCUGUCUCAGCGUCUGGGACUCAUCUGGACUCCAGGACGCGAGUUUCAGAUCUGUCCCCAAGUGGCUGUGUGACCAUGGGCAGGUCGCAGCCUUCCUCGGGACAUCAACCACGCCGUCUCUAACAUGGGCGUGGCACAUUCCUUCCCUGAGGGCGCUUUUAGGUAUCACAACUCAGCACCUGAGGACGCCGACGGGGCUCCCAUAUUACAAGAGUGGAAACUGGGGUGCAGGUGGCAUGGCAAGAUCACGGGGACUGGGAGCGACUUCCCGGGCUCUCCUCUGUGGAGGGGUCCUGCGCCCUGCCGAGGUCGAGCAUGCGCCAAGGCUCCUCACACCCGGGGAGGCCCCGCCCCCAGCCAGCUUUGGCCACGCCCAGGACAUCUGGUCCCACCCUCAGCUCAUAGGGCUCCGCCCCAAUCUCGUUGACCACGCCCCCAGCCCGCCUUCGGACCCCCGCUCCCUUGCUUCGCUGUCAGCCUGAACGCUCUGCCUGUUCUCUUCGGCCUGCGAGCCUUUGCACAGGCUGUGCCCUCUGCCCGGCGCACCGUCCUCCUCACAACGCCCGCUGUCCGGGCAAGCCCCGAUCCCCGCUUCCUGCGCUCAGCCCUCUCCCUCCCUCCGGCCACACCCUGACUGGGAGAGCAGAAUCAACGCCCCUCCCCUUGGGGUCAGAGGUCAGAGAAAGAGUGGGAGGGGGCGUGGAGCAAGAACAGAGGGUGGCGAGGGGAAGUUAGCAACCGCGGAGAGGGGCUGCUUGUGGGUCACGGGCUUUUGAGAAGGGGGCAGGCAGGAGAGGCGGAAACAGGGAGACACCCAAGACUGGGGGCACCCAAGACUGGCGCCAAGCGCCGGUGUCCACCUGGUCCCCCGCCAGGUCACCCCAUCCCAGUCCACGGGCCGGGAUCGGGCCUGCCGGAGGACGCCGAGCACGGGAUUCGGCCCAGACCGGGGUGAGGGUGGGGGAUUCGGCAGGCUUCGGUUGUAUGGCCGGGUUUGACUAAGUUCGGUCUGAUCACACAGGGUUGGGCCUGGUCCAGAAGAAUUCGUUCGGGCUCUGCGUGAGGGCAGCUUGCCUGGCCGGUGAUUUGGCUGAAAAGAGUGAGAUGAGGAAGUGGAAAAGGGAAGUGCCCUCCACGGUGAGAGGUCACCGCGCCGGAGUUUGCCCAGAUCCCACACAGUGUUUCAGUCUCCCUCUGUCCAUUUUCUAGAUGGGGAAACUGAGGCCUGGAGCCACCAAGGGGCUGCCCAGAAACUACAAACCCUUCAUCCUUUGCCAGUUUUAACAGUAGAGUGUUAUUAAUAGCUCUUUGGAUGGAGAAAUUGAGCCACAGAGCUGAGACAGCAUUCGAAGCCUGGCCUGCCUGACCCUGGGAGGCCCCAAACCCGGCCAGGUCACAGCUGGAGCAUCACCCCCUCCAGGAAGCCCUCCCUGGUCAGCCAGAUAAACGUUCUCGGAGCACCCUCCUCUCACCAGUACACUUUCACAUUUACUGUCAUGAUUAUUUGAUCUGCAUCUGUCUCACCCACCAGCCCCUUGAGGGCAAGAGCAAGUCUGCCUUGCUCCCAGCUGUGCCCUUAGUACCUGGCACUCAGAAAGUGCCCAAUAAAUGCUUGUGAAAUGAA